GACGAACGCUGGCGGCGUGCCUAAUACAUGCAAGUCGAACGCAGUGGGGACGGGUGAGUAACACGUGGGUAACCUCCAAUCAGAGGGGAUAACACUUGGAAACAGGUGCUAAACCGAUAUUGAAGGAUGGACCCGCGGUGCAUUAGCUAGUUGGUGGGGUAACGGCCAACCAAGGCCACGAUGCAUAGCCGACCUGAGAGGGUGAUCGGCCACACUGGAACGGAGACACGGCCCAGACUCCUACGGGAGGCAGCAGUGGGGAAUCUUCGACAAUGGACGAAAGUCUGACCGAGCAACGCCGCGUGAGUGAAGAAGGUUUUCGGGUCGUAAAGCUCUGUUGUUAGAGAAGCGGUAUCUAACCAGAAAGCAACGGCUAACUACGUGCCAGCAGCCGCGGUAAUAC
rnacentral:rRNA from 1 species